rnacentral:rRNA from 1 species
CCCUUAGAUGUUCUGGGCCGCACGCGCGCUACACUGACGAAUGCAACGAGCUUAUAACCUUGGCCGAAAGGUCUGGGUAAUCUCCAAAUUUCGUCGUGAUGGGGAUAGAUUAUUGCAAUUAUUGAUCUUCAACGAGGAAUGCCUAGUAAGCGCAAGUCAUCAGCUUGCGUUGAUUACGUCCCUGCCCUUUGUACACACCGCCCGUCGCUCCUACCGAUUGAAUGGUCCGGUGAAGCGCUCGGACCGCGGCCUCUUGACGGUUUUCCGUCGAUUGGCUGUGGGAAGUUCGUUAAACCUUAUCAUUUAGAGGAAGGAGAAGUCGUAACA